UACGUAGGGGGCAAGCGUUGUCCGGAUUUAUUGGGCGUAAAGAGCGUGUAGGCGGCCAGAUAGGUCAGCUGUGAAAACUCGAGGCUCAACCUCGAGAUGUCGGCUGAAACCAUCUGGCUAGAGUCCGGAAGAGGAGAAUGGAAUUCCCGGUGUAGCGGUGAAAUGCGCAGAUAUCGGGAAGAACACCCGUGGCGAAGGCGGUUCUCUGGGACGGUACUGACGCUGAGAAGCGAAAGCAUGGGGAGCGAACAGG
rnacentral:rRNA from 1 species